AGAGCGAACGCUGGCGGCAGGCCUAACACAUGCAAGUCGAGCGCCCGUAGCAAUACGGGAGCGGCAGACGGGAUAGUAACACGUGGGAACGCGCCCUUCGGUUCGGAAUAACUCAGGGAAACUUGAGCUAAUACCGAAUACGCCCUUACGGGGAAAGAUUUAUUGCCGAAGGAACGGCCCGCGUCCGAUUAGCUAGUUGGUGAGGUAAUGGCUCACCAAGGCUACGAUCGGUAGCUGGUCUGAGAGGAUGACCAGCAUCACUGGGACUGAGACACGGCCCAGACUCCUACGGGAGGCAGCAGUGGGGAAUAUUGGACAAUGGGCGCAAGCCUGAUCCAGCCAUGCCGCGUGGAGGAUGAAGUCCCUUGGGACGUAAACUCCUUUCGACCAAGACGAUAAUGACGGUACUGGUGGAAGAAGCACCGGCUAACUCUGUGCCAGCAGCCGC
rnacentral:rRNA from 1 species